UACGUAGGAAGCGAGCGUUAUCCGGAUUUAUUGGGCGUAAAGCGCGUGCAGGCGGUUUAGUAAGUUGGGUAUGAAAGCUCCUGGCUUAACUAGGAGAGGUUGCUCAAAACUGCUAGACUAGAGGAUGGUAGAGGAAGGUGGAAUUCCGGGUGUAGUGGUGAAAUGCGUAGAUAUCCGGAGGAACACCAGUGGCGAAAGCGGCCUUCUGGACCAUAACUGACGCUCAGACGCGAAAGCUAGGGGAGCAAACGGGAUUAGAGACCCCGGUAGUCCUAGCUGUAAACUAUGUAGACUUGGCGUCGGUGGGUUUAAAUCCAUCGGUGUCGAAGCAAACGCGUUAAGUCUACCGCCUGGGGACUACGACCGCAAGGUUA
rnacentral:rRNA from 1 species